GAUGAACGCUGGCGGCGUGCCUAAUACAUGCAAGUAGAACGCUGAAGGAGGAGCUUGCUCUUCUGGAUGAGUUGCGAACGGGUGAGUAACGCGUAGGUAACCUGCCUGGUAGCGGGGGAUAACUAUUGGAAACGAUAGCUAAUACCGCAUGACAACAGUUAUUGCAUGAUAACUGUUUAAAAGGGGCAACUGCUCCACUACCAGAUGGCCCUGCGUUGUAUUAGCUAGUUGGUGAGGUAACGGCUCACCAAGGCGACGAUACAUAGCCGACCUGAGAGGGUGAUAGGCCAAGCUGGGACGAGGACACGGCCAAGAAUCCUACGGGAGGCAGCAGGAGGGAAUCUUCGGCAAAGGAAGGAAGGCUGACCAAGCAACGCCGGGUGAGUGAAGGAGGUUUUCGGGUCGUAAAGGUCUGUUGUAAGAGAAGAACGAGUAUGAGAGUGGAAAGUUCACACUGUGACGGUAUCUUACCAGAAAGGGACGGCUAACUACGUG
rnacentral:rRNA from 1 species